UGGGGAAUAUUGCGCAAUGGAGGAAACUCUGACGCAGCAACGCCGCGUGAAGGAUGAAGGUUUUCGGAUUGUAAACUUCUUUGAUUGGGGACGAAAUAAAUGACGGUACCCAAAAAACAAGCCACGGCUAACUACGUGCCAGCAGCCGCGGUAAUACGUAGGUGGCGAGCGUUGUCCGGAUUUACUGGGUGUAAAGGGCGUGUAGGCGGGAAAGUAAGUCAGAUGUGAAAUUCCAGGGCUCAACCCUGGCGCUGCAUCUGAAACUAUUUUUCUUGAGUGAUGGAGAGGAAAGUGGAAUUCCUAGUGUAGCGGUGAAAUGCGUAGAUAUUAGGAGGAACACCAGUGGCGAAGGCGACUUUCUGGACAUUAACUGACGCUGAGGCGCGAAAGCGUGGGGAGCAAACA
rnacentral:rRNA from 1 species